GGCCAAGCUAAUAAGGGUGUACGAUGGAUGCCCUGGCGAAGACUGGCGAUGAAGGGCGUGGCAAGCUGCGAUAAGCCCCGGUGAGGUGCAAGCAACCUGUGAUCCGGGGAUUCCCGAAUGGGGCAACCCAUCCACCGCGAGGUGGAUAUCCUGUCGCAAGGCAGGAGGCGAACCGAGGGAAGUGAACCAUCUCAGUACCUCGAGGAAAAGAAAAAAAUUUGAUUCCCUGAGUAGCGGCGAGCGAAAGGGGAACAGCCCAAACCGAAUGAUGUUAUAGCAUAGCCGCGUUCAUCAUUCGGGGUUGCAGGACCUGGCAUGGAAGUGGCUAUACUUCCAGCAUGACACAACCUUUUGGGUUAGCCGAAUGAUCUGGAAAGAUCAGCCAUAGAAGGUGAAAGCCCUGUAAGCGAAAACUCAAAAGGCAUGCGUCAGGCACCUGAGUACCACGGAGGAACCGAGGAGCUCUGUGGGAAUCCGCCACGACCACGUGGC
rnacentral:rRNA from 1 species